GACGAACGCUGGCGGCGUGCCUAAUACAUGCAAGUAGAACGCACAGUUUAUACCGUAGCUUGCUACACCAUAGACUGUGAGUUGCGAACGGGUGAGUAACGCGUAGGUAACCUGCCUGGUAGCGGGGGAUAACUAUUGGAAACGAUAGCUAAUACCGCAUAAUAUUAAUUAUUGCAUGAUAAUUAAUUGAAAGGUGCAAUUGCACCACUACCAGAUGGACCUGCGUUGUAUUAGCUAGUAGGUGAGGUAACGGCUCACCUAGGCGACGAUACAUAGCCGACCUGAGAGGGUGAUCGGCCACACUGGGACUGAGACACGGCCCAGACUCCUACGGGAGGCAGCAGUAGGGAAUCUUCGGCAAUGGACGAAAGUCUGACCGAGCAACGCCGCGUGAGUGAAGAAGGUUUUCGGAUCGUAAAGCUCUGUUGUAAGAGAAGAACGGGUGUGAGAGUGGAAAGUUCACACUGUGACGGUAUCUUACCAGAAAGGGACGGCUAACUACGUGCCAGCAGCCGCGGUAAUACGUAGGUCCCGAGCGUUGUCCGGAUUUAUUGGGCGUAAAGCGAGCGCAGGCGGUUAGAUAAGUCUGAAGUUAAAGGCUGUGGCUUAACCAUAGUACGCUUUGGAAACUGUUUAACUUGAGUGCAGAGGGGGAGAGUGGAAUUCCAUGUGUAGCGGUGAAAUGCGUAGAUAUAUGGAGGAACACCGGUGGCGAAAGCGGCUCUCUGGUCUGUAACUGACGCUGAGGCUCGAAAGCGUGGGGAGCGAAACAGG
rnacentral:rRNA from 1 species